rnacentral:rRNA from 1 species
UAAGUACCCCGAGGAAAAGAAAUCAACCGAGAUUCCCCCAGUAGCGGCGAGCGAACGGGGAGCAGCCCAGAGCCUGAAUCAGUAUGUGUGUUAGUGGAAGCGUCUGGAAAGGCGCGCGAUACAGGGUGACAGCCCCGUACACAAAAAUGCACAUGCUGUGAGCUCGAUGAGUAGGGCGGGACACGUGGUAUCCUGUCUGAAUAUGGGGGGACCAUCCUCCAAGGCUAAAUACUCCUGACUGACCGAUAGUGAACCAGUACCGUGAGGGAAAGGCGAAAAGAACCCCGGCGAGGGGAGUGAAAAAGAACCUGAAACCGUGUACGUACAAGCAGUGGGAGCACGCUUAGGCGUGUGACUGCGUACCUUUUGUAUAAUGGGUCAGCGACUUAUAUUCUGUAGCAAGGUUAACCGAAUAGGGGAGCCGAAGGGAAACCGAGUCUUAACUGGGCGUUAAGUUGCAGGGUAUAGACCCGAAACCCGGUGAUCUAGCCAUGGGCAGGUUGAAGGUUGGGUAACACUAACUGGAGGACCGAACCGACUAAUGUUGAAAAAUUAGCGGAUGACUUGUGGCUGGGGGUGAAAGGCCAAUCAAACCGGGAGAUAGCUGGUUCUCCCCGAAAGCUAUUUAGGUAGCGCCUCGUGAAUUCAUCUCCGGGGGUAGAGCACUGUUUCGGCAAGGGGGUCAUCCCGACUUACCAACCCGAUGCAAACUGCGAAUACCGGAGAAUGUUAUCACGGGAGACACACGGCGGGUGCUAACGUCCGUCGUGAAGAGGGAAACAACCCAGACCGCCAGCUAAGGUCCCAAAGUCAUGGUUAAGUGGGAAACGAUGUGGGAAGGCCCAGACAGCCAGGAUGUUGGCUUAGAAGCAGCCAUCAUUUAAAGAAAGCGUAAUAGCUCACUGGUCGAGUCGGCCUGCGCGGAAGAUGUAACG